CCUACGGGGAGCAGCAGUGGGGAAUAUUGCACAAUGGGGGAAACCCUGAUGCAGCGACGCCGCGUGAGUGAAGAAGUAUCUCGGUACGUAAAGCUCUAUCAGCAGGGAAGAAAAUGACGGUACCUGACUAAGAAGCCCCGGCUAACUAAGUGCCAGCAGCCGCGGUAAUACGUAGGGGGCAACCGUUAUCCGGAUUUACUGGGUGUAAAGGGAGCGUAGACGGCAGCACAAGUCUGGAGUGAAAUCCCGGGGCUUAACCCCGGAACUGCUUUGGAAACUGUGCGGCUGGAGUGCAGGAGGGGUAAGCGGAAUGCCUAGUGUAGCGGUGAAAUGCGUAGAUAUUAGGAGGAACACCGAUGGCGAAGGCAGCUUACUGGACUGUAACUGACGUUGAGGCUCGAAAGCGUGGGGAGCAAACAGGAUUAGAUACCCCGGUAGUC
rnacentral:rRNA from 1 species